AUUCCGGUUGAUCCUGCCGGAGGCCAUUGCUAUCGGAAUCGGAUUUAGCCAUGCUAGUCGCACGGGUUUAGACCCGUGGCGAACAGCUCAGUAACACGUGGCCAAACUGCCCUGUGGACGGGGAUAAUCUCGGGAAACUGAGGCUAAUCCCCGAUAGGGCUUCCAUCCUGGAGUGGAGAAAGUCCAAAAGUUGCGCUGCGGCACCACAGGAUGUGGCUGCGGCCGAUUAGGUAGACGGUGGGGUAACGGCCCACCGUGCCAGUAAUCGGUACGGGUGAUGAGAGUCAGAGCCCGGAGACGGUAUCUGAGACAAGAUACCGGGCCCUACGGGGCGCAGCAGGCGCGAAACCUUUACACUCCCCGACAGUCCAAUAGGGGGUUUCCGAGUGCGAGGCCAUUCAGUCCUCGCUUUUCUGGACCGUAAGGAGGUCCAAGAAU
rnacentral:rRNA from 1 species